UGGGGAAUAUUGGACAAUGGGCGCAAGCCUGAUCCAGCCAUGCCGCGUGCGGGAAGAAGGCCUUCGGGUUGUAAACCGCUUUUGUCAGGGAAGAAACGCUCUGGGCUAAUACCCUGGGGUAAUGACGGUACCUGAAGAAUAAGCACCGGCUAACUACGUGCCAGCAGCCGCGGUAAUACGUAGGGUGCAAGCGUUAAUCGGAAUUACUGGGCGUAAAGCGUGCGCAGGCGGUUAUGCAAGACAGAUGUGAAAUCCCCGGGCUCAACCUGGGAACUGCAUUUGUGACUGUAUAGCUAGAGUACGGUAGAGGGGGAUGGAAUUCCGCGUGUAGCAGUGAAAUGCGUAGAUAUGCGGAGGAACACCGAUGGCGAAGGCAAUCCCCUGGACCUGUACUGACGCUCAUGCACGAAAGCGUGGGGAGCAAACAGGAUUAGAUACCCCAGUAGUCCCUGAGCGGGCUGGCAAGGCGCAU
rnacentral:rRNA from 1 species